GAUGAACGCUGGCGGCGUGCCUAAUACAUGCAAGUCGAGCGAACGGACGAGAAGCUUGCUUUUCUGAUGUUAGCGGCGGACGGGUGAGUAACACGUGGAUAACCUACCUAUAAGACUGGGAUAACUUCGGGAAACCGGAGCUAAUACCGGAUAAUAUUUUGAACCGCAUGGUUCAAAAGUGAAAGACGGUCUUGCUGUCACUUAUAGAUGGAUCCGCGCUGCAUUAGCUAGUUGGUAAGGUAACGGCUUACCAAGGCAACGAUGCAUAGCCGACCUGAGAGGGUGAUCGGCCACACUGGAACUGAGACACGGUCCAGACUCCUACGGGAGGCAGCAGUAGGGAAUCUUCCGCAAUGGGCGAAAGCCUGACGGAGCAACGCCGCGUGAGUGAUGAAGGUCUUCGGAUCGUAAAACUCUGUUAUUAGGGAAGAACAUAUGUGUAAGUAACUGUGCACAUCUUGACGGUACCUAAUCAGAAAGCCACGGCUAACUACGUGCCAGCAGCCGCGGUAAUACGUAGGUGGCAAGCGUUAUCCGGAAUUAUUGGGCGUAAAGCGCGCGUAGGCGGUUUUUUAAGUCUGAUGUGAAAGCCCACGGCUCAACCGUGGAGGGUCAUUGGAAACUGGAAAACUUGAGUGCAGAAGAGGAAAGUGGAAUUCCAUGUGUAGCGGUGAAAUGCGCAGAGAUAUGGAGGAACACCAGUGGCGAAGGCGACUUUCUGGUCUGUAACUGACGCUGAUGUGCGAAAGCGUGGGGAUCAAACAGGAUUAGAUACCCUGGUAGUCCACGCCGUAAACGAUGAGUGCUAAGUGUUAGGGGGUUUCCGCCCCUUAGUGCUGCAGCUAACGCAUUAAGCACUCCGCCUGGGGAGUACGACCGCAAGGUUGAAACUCAAAGGAAUUGACGGGGACCCGCACAAGCGGUGGAGCAUGUGGUUUAAUUCGAAGCAACGCGAAGAACCUUACCAAAUCUUGACAUCCUUUGACAACUCUAGAGAUAGAGCCUUCCCCUUCGGGGGACAAAGUGACAGGUGGUGCAUGGUUGUCGUCAGCUCGUGUCGUGAGAUGUUGGGUUAAGUCCCGCAACGAGCGCAACCCUUAAGCUUAGUUGCCAUCACUAAGUUGGGCACUCUAAGUUGACUGCCGGUGACAAACCGGAGGAAGGUGGGGAUGACGUCAAAUCAUCAUGCCCCCUAUGAUUUGGGCUACACACGUGCUACAAUGGACAAUACAAAGGGCAGCGAAACCGCGAGGUCAAGCAAAUCCCAUAAAGUUGUUCUCAGUUCGGAUUGUAGUCUGCAACUCGACUACAUGAAGCUGGAAUCGCUAGUAAUCGUAGAUCAGCAUGCUACGGUGAAUACGUUCCCGGGUCU
rnacentral:rRNA from 1 species